rnacentral:tRNA from 1 species
GGAGAGGUGGCUGAGCGGUUGAAGGCGUCGCUCUCGAAAAGCGAUAGGUUCGCAAGGGCCUCGAGGGUUCAAAUCCCUCCCUCUCCG